rnacentral:lncRNA from 1 species
AACACUGCAGAAUUGGACAAGCAAUAAUUUAGUUUUACAAUAAUUUCUAAUGAUUAGAAAGAACAAGCUGAAUUUCACUUGCAGCAGUUAGAGAUGAAGAGGAAAAACUGAGAUGAGUUCACCGGCUCUUACUUGAUUUUCAACAGCCUGGGAACAGAAUGUGAUCUGCAAGCUGCAUUGUCCAGAGAAUACAAAAAGAGAUGCAAGCCAGUGCAGCCCUUGUACUGAACUUAGUUGUCUUUUUACAAAAUCAUGCUGUUCAAUAUCUUCUCUGCAGUUGUUUUUUUUUUUCAAGGUGGAUUUUGCCCACUCUGGGUGUCACUGACCAAAGGAAUUCCAUGGACAUAGUGGGUUAAAGGAGAGUCAAACAAUGAUCAAGUGGGGAUUGUGAUUGAAGCCACUGGGAAGGCACAGAUUGGCUGCUUUAGCAUCUUAGCCAGUUACCUAAACAAGAAUAAAUACCUGACAGUUAUUGACAAAGAUGCAUUUGGAGGAGUAUACAGUGGACCAAGCUUGCUGGUAGAAAAUGUUGCUGUCUCGGGUAAAGGCUUCUGCAAGUCCCUCUUUUCCUGGCUGUAUAGGCUACCUCUUGGAAGAAAGUCCUUGUCCUUUGAGACUCAGAAGGCCCCACGCUCCAGUAUGCCAUCAUGAUGCCUGCUAAGGCAGCCACCUUGGUGUACAUGCUCACAGAGGCUCUGUUCAUGGAGCAGCUGCUGUUUGAAAAAUUUUGAAAUGCAAGAUCCACAACUAGAUGGAAGGCACUCUAGUCUUUGCAGAAAAAAAUGUACCUGAAUGUACAUUGCACAAUGCCUGGCACAAAGAAGGAAGAAUAUAAAUGAUAGUUCGACUCGUCUGUGGAAGAACUUACAAUCAUGGGGAAAGAUGGAAUAAAAACAUUUUUUAAACAGCAUGAAAACAUACCUAUUUGUGCAUUUCCUUUGAUUUACACCCCCACAUCCAAUCAGUGAUCAGGUUCUAUUGAUUC